UUGCUCUUCAACGAGGAAUUCCUAGCAAACGCGAGUCAUCAGCUCGCAUUGAUUACGUCCCUGCCCUUUGUACACACCGCCCGUCGCUCCUACCGAUUGAAUGGUCCGGUGAAGUGUUUGGAUGGUGGCGAUAGAGGUGGUUCGCCGCCUGUGGCGUCGCGAGAAGUCCAAUGAACCUUAUCAUUUAGAGGAAGGAGAAGUCGUAACAAGGUUUCCGUAGGUGAACCUGCGGAAGGAUCAUUGUCGAGUUCCUUUUCGAACAGUUGUGAAAUUGUGCUCAUACCCGACGAGUACUACGUGUUUGUGCUAUUAGUGCAUGUGUUGUCUUGGCGGGUUCCCUUUUGCUGCCUUCGUGUUGCUUUAUUUGAAGUCAAACGAAGAGCAGAAAUAAGACACCGGCACAGUUUGUGCCAAGGACAGUUAUUGUUGGAGUGCAUUGCCAUUGUUUUGAUGUGCUUUGUGCUAUUCUAGCGAGCAUCUGAAUGACUCUUGGCUCUCGUGUCGAUGAAGAACCUGGCGAAAUGCGACACUUGGUGUGAAUUGCAGAAUCCCGUGAACCAUCGAGUCUUUGAAUGCAAGUUGCGCACGAGGCCAUUAGGUCGAGUGCACGUCUGUUUGGGCGUCAUGUAUAGCGUCAUUCCAAUCUCCCUCAUGCGACGAGUGCAUUUUGGGUUAUGAUGGAUAUGGAGAAUGACCUUUCCGUGCUUUAAUUGUAUGGUAGGUUUAAGUGAUUGUCGUUGCCAGUUAUAUGCGAGGCGAAUGGUGUGUCGAGUUAACGCACGAUGUCUCUAAUCGCGUCCAUGAGACCUAGGCUUGACUUAGCACUAGCUAAAACCGAUUUCGAUGUUUGCUUUCGUAGCAGGCUCGGACCAUGACCUCAGGUCAGACGGGGCGACCCGCUGAGUUUAAGCAUAUCCAAUAAGCGGAGGA
rnacentral:rRNA from 1 species